rnacentral:rRNA from 1 species
AAUAGAUACCCAGGUAGUCCACGCCGUAAACGAUGAGUGCUAAGUGUUAGGGGGUUUCCGCCCCUUAGUGCUGCAGCUAACGCAUUAAGCACUCCGCCUGGGGAGUACGGUCGCAAGACUGAAACUCAAAGGAAUUGACGGGGGCCCGCACAAGCGGUGGAGCAUGUGGUUUAAUUCGAAGCAACGCGAAGAACCUUACCAGGUCUUGACAUCCCAUUGACCACUAUGGAGACAUAGUUUUCCCUUCGGGGACAACGGUGACAAGUGGUGCAUGGUUGUCGUCAGCUCGUGUCGUGAGAUGUUGGGUUAAAUCCCGCAACGAGCGCAACCCUUGUUCUUAGUUGCCAUCAUUUAGUUGGGCACUCUAAGGAGACUGCCGGUGACAAACCGGAGGAAGGUAGGGAUGACGUCAAAUCAUCAUGCCCCUUAUGACCUGGGCUACACACGUGCUACAAUGGACGGUACAAACGGUUGCCAACCGCGAGGGGAGCUAAUCCGAUAAAACCGUUCUCAGUUCGGAUUGUAGGCUGCAACUCGCCUACAUGAACG